rnacentral:rRNA from 1 species
AUUGAACGCUGGCGGCAGGCCUAACACAUGCAAGUCGAACGGUAACAGGAAGAAGCUUGCUUCUUUGCUGACGAGUGGCGGACGGGUGAGUAAUGUCUGGGAAACUGCCUGAUGGAGGGGGAUAACUACUGGAAACGGUAGCUAAUACCGCAUAACGUCGCAAGACCAAAGAGGGGGACCUUCGGGCCUCUUGCCAUCGGAUGUGCCCAGAUGGGAUUAGCUAGUAGGUGGGGUAACGGCUCACCUAGGCGACGAUCCCUAGCUGGUCUGAGAGGAUGACCAGCCACACUGGAACUGAGACACGGUCCAGACUCCUACGGGAGGCAGCAGUGGGGAAUAUUGCACAAUGGGCGCAAGCCUGAUGCAGCCAUGCCCCGUGUAUGAAGAAGGCCUUCGGGUUGUAAAGUACUUUCAGCGGGGAGGAAGGGAGUAAAGUUAAUACCUUUGCUCAUUGACGUUACCCGCAGAAGAAGCACCGGCUAACUCCGUG